AACAAGAUGGCAGCGGCCAACGUUUGAACCAUUGCAUCGGUUUAUCAGUACUCUGAGGAAAACUUAAUUACCGAAGCCUGGAUACUAAAAUAAGCUAAGGAGCUGAUUUUUUGUCGAAUACGGCUGAAGCUGGACGCUGAAUGCACGUGCAGCUCGAAGUUGUACUUGUUCAGCUGCUGCAGCUUAGACAGAGACACCAACAUCACCUUACAGACCAACAGGUGUCACCACUUCGUCCACAACAUCGCCCACGAUCGCAGAGACUUCGUCCAUGAUCGGAGAGACAUUGUUGAGGAUGAGGGAGACAUUGUCCACGAUCAGAGACAUCGCCCGUGAUUGCAGAGACCUUGUCAAAGAUGAGAGAGACGUUGUCCUUGAUCAGAGACAUUGUCUCCUGCUUCGUAGAGACCUUGCGAUAGAAUCGGCGGAGACGGGGGUCACCGAUUUGACGGCAUUGCCCGCGAUCAGGGACAUUGUC